rnacentral:lncRNA from 1 species
AGGCUGGAGGCAUGUACUACCAUGCCUGGUGCUUCUGUGAGUGCUGGAGACCUGAAUUCAGGUCCUCAAGUUUGUACAACAAGCACUUUACCAACCCGGCUAUCCAGCCCCUAAUUUUUUAAAAUUAUCUUUUAAUUGGCAUAUAAAAUAAUAGGUUCCAUUAUGACAUUUUUAAUACAUGAAUCAGAUUUGCCACUCCCCCCAUAUUUCUCCUCUCUCUGAUUCCUUCCCUCCUUCUAACUGGUCCACAUUCUGCUUCCAUGUAUAUAAACACUUGUGUUUAAAUCCUCAUAUGGAAAACACUUAAUAUUUUUGUCUUUCUAGCCACAUUACCCCCAGUCCCUCCACCUGAGACUACUUCCUCUUCCCAUAUGUUUCACUUUGACUUUGGGGUUGUAUGUAUACUUAAAUCUAGAUUCUGCCUAUGGAAGAGAAUACAGGAUAUUAAGACAAACAUGGCUAUUAAAUUGCAAUAACAGGAUAAAGACAGCAUGCUGAGCUCUUACACAGUAGGGUGGCUACAGAUAAUAAUGAUGUACUGGACACCUCCAAGGGCCAACGGUAUCUUAUACAAUGUAAAUACAAUGUGAAGAAUCUCUCUAUCUCUCUCUCUUGACAUUCGGGAGUUCUGGCUUAUGUGUUUUGCACAUCUGUAAGCCUGGUACAGGGUGACCUGUUGCACUCUGGAGCUGCUGCUAGAACUACAGCCUCUGUGGGAGUCUUCAAGAGUCAUUCAUAGAUGUUUAUUUCAUGCUUGUGUCUAGAAAUCACUUGGUGAGUCAGCCAUGCCCUUGCCUCCAUUGCUGUGUGUUGUCACAAGUCACAAGGGUAACAGCCACCCAGCUACUUAAUGACAUCAUUUGGUAGUUGCUGUUCCCACAGAAAGGCUGGGGAACUUGGAUACGUACCCCUUCUCACAUCACAGCAACAGUAUGAGAAACUCAAGCUCUCUUCAGCCAUGAGUGGGCAGACAGGCCCUGGUGAUAAAGGAUCUGCCAGCCACCAUGAUACUUCCUCUGAGUCACCAGCUCUCAGGAUCCACUCCGUGUUUUCAAUGAAUGAGGGAAGACAGAAUAACAAUUUUGUACCCAAUAUAAUCUGCACAUGUGAGCCUCUUACUUCCACAGAGCCAGGUACUUCUAUUAUCACCUUUACCUGGCUUUCAGAAAGACUUACUUCCCUUUCUAAGCUCUCUGGAGAAUCUGAUCUUCCUUUUUUCUCACUACACCAGCAGCAGUUUGGAAGACAAUGUGCUAACUUGGGUUAUGUGACUCUGUGAUUCUUAAACAUACAUGUGCAUGCAGCUGGCAUGGGAGCACACACCUGUAACCCUAGUACUUGGGAGGCAGAAGCAAAAGGAUCUUGAGUUCAAGUCCAGCCUGGGCUUUAUAAUGAAUUUGAAAUCAGUUUGGGCUACACAGUGAGAUCCUGCCUCAAAUAAACACAUAAAUACAUAGGCGAACCA